rnacentral:rRNA from 1 species
GACGAACGCUGGCGGCGUGCUUAACACAUGCAAGUCGAACGGAAAGGCCCCUUUGGUGGUGCUCGAGUUGCGCACGUGUGAGUAACACGUGUGUAACCUGCCCUUCCUUUCGGGAUAACUUCAGUAAACUGGUGCUAAUACCGGUUAGGAAUCCUUGCUGCAUUGUGUGGCUUGGUAAGCUUGGGCGGUUUUGGAUUGACUCGCGGCUUAUCCGCUUGUUGGUGGGGUAGUUGCUUACCAAGGCUUUGACGGGGAGCCGGGCUGAGAGGGCGACCGGACACAGUGGGACUGAGAGACGGCCCAGACGGCGACGGGAGGCAGAAGUGGGGAAUAAUGCAGAAUGGGCGGAGGCGUGAGGCAGCAGCGGGGCGUGCGGGAGGAAGGCCUUCGGGUUGGAAAACGCGGUCAGCAGGGGCGAAGCGUGUGGUGACGGUAGCUGGAGAAGAAGCACCGGCUAACUACGUG